GAAGUUGGCGCCCAACUACCGUACCGGAGUGACUGCUGGUCCUAUAAAACCCCGGCGCCGCUCGCUGCAUGCUGUCAUGCUCCCGCGCCCACAGAGAGCCUGCCGUCUCCUUACAAUUCUGAUCGCCCCCGCCAUACGCGCGCGACGACAAGACCACCACAGAGCCAUGGGCAUCUUCACGGUGACCAAGCUAUCCGAGGGCCCCGUGCGGCCGUCCGCCGACACGCCGUCGGAGACGCUGCCCCUGGCCUGGGUCGACCGGUACCCGACGCACCGCGGCCUCGUCGAGUCCACGCACAUCUACUGCUGCGACGACGUCGCGAAGACGCUGCUGCUGCCUGCUGCGCCGGCCGAGGGCGACGCCGACGCACUGGCGCCGACGAAGAAGGAGGUGAUCACCAAGAAGUCCCCGGCCGCGGUGGUGCGCGCCGCGCUGGCGGACGCGCUGGUGCACUACUACCCGUUCGCGGGCCGGAUCGUGGAGGACGUGCCGGGGCGCCCCGCCGUGCUGUGCUCUGCCGAGGGCGUCUACUUCGUGGAGGCCGUGGCCAACUGCACCCUCGCCGACGUCAACUUCCUGGAGCGGCCGCUGCUCCUCGCCAAGGAGCAGCUCGUGCCGUGCCCCACGCCGGAGCUCUGGCCCGUCUUGCCGCACAACAGCCUUGCCAUGAUACAGGUCACGGCCUUCACCUGCGGCGGCUUCGUGGUGGGCCUGCGCACCAACCACGCGGUGGCGGACGGCACGGGCGCGGCGCAGUUCCUGAGCGCCGUGGGCGACCUCGCCCGCGGGCUGCCGGAGCCCCGCGUGAGGCCCGUCUGGGGCCGGGACCGCUUCCCCGACCCGGACAUCAAGCCCGGCCCGCUCCCGGAGCUGCCGGCGCUGGCGCUGGAGUACAUAGCGUUCGACUUCCCCACCGCGUACCUCGACGAGCUCAAGUCGCAGUACGCGGCGUCCACGGGCGGCAAGUUCUGCUCGGGCUUCGACAUCGUCAUCGCCAAGCUCUGGCAGUGCCGGACGCGCGCCAUCGCCGCCGCCCUCGGCCCCGACGACGUCAGGCUCUGCUUCUUCGCCAGCGUCCGGCACGUGCUGAAGCUGGAGCCGGGCUACUACGGCAACGCCAUCUUCCCCGUGAAGGUGUGCGCGCCGGCGGAGAAGGUGGCCGGCUCGUCGGUGGUCGAGCUCGUCGGCAUGGUCCGGGACGCGAAGCGCCGGAUGGCCGAGGAGUGCCUGCGCUGGGCCGAGGGCCGCACCGGCGGCGUCGACCCGUUCCAGAUGACCUUCAACUACGAGUCCGUGUACGUGUCGGACUGGAGCAAGCUCGGGUUCGCCGACGUGGACUACGGGUACGGCACGCCCAUGUCCGCCGGCCCGCUGGUGAACUGCGACCUCAUCGCGUCGGUCAUCGUCAUGAGGGCGCCCGCGCCGCUCGCCGGCACGCGGCUUCUGGCCAGCUGCGUCACCAAGGAGCACGCCGACGACUUCGCCUGCAGGAUGCGGGAGGACCUAGUCUGAUAUAUAGGUGAGUAUGGAGAUGAUGGAACCCUGCCGCUGUACCUGUACCUACGUGUGAGUGUGGCCAGAGUCAGAGCUAUACGUUGUGGACGUUAAGGUAUUGUAUCGCAACUAGUAGAUGCACUACGUACGUGUGUGUAUACAAACAAAAUUCGCAUGGAGUUGUUGAGUAACUUACUGACGAUGCAGCCAGCGUCAGGGAGCAGCGUUGACUAAAAAGACACAGCGAGCCACGAAUAUACGACUCAUUUUUCAAUGGGAACAUAUCUGAAAAAAAUCAUACAUAUCCUUUUCAUUUUACUUAAACUAUAUACACAAUGUCAAG
rnacentral:misc_RNA from 1 species